rnacentral:tRNA from 1 species
AUUUAGGUAGCUUAAGUUUAAAGUUUAAUAUUGAAGAUAUUAAGAUAAGAUUGACUUUCUAAAUA